GGGGAUUUAGCUCAGUGGUAGAGCGCUUGCCUAGCAAGCUCGAGGCCCUGGGUGGUUCAGUCCCCA
rnacentral:tRNA from 1 species